GCACGUGUAAGUCUGAAAAAAACAUCGAUUGAAAAAGAAGCACGGCCCGAGUUAUGUGUUUAGUUUGGAUUGGCUUGGACGCGACCGAAAGUAGCGGCAGGUUGUCAGUCACCGUCACACGGUACAUCGUUCGUCUUCGUGUUAAUUUGCACGUAAUUAACGUGUUCGAAUCUACCACUACUCGUCGGUCGCAUGGACGAGUGGUCCUUGACCGGAAAGCUCGGUGGCAUGCAAGAAUACAAAAACAUCAGAGAUAACUUCCCCUUUGAGAAUUUCCGAGGACUUACGGAAUCUGCAUGGAACAAUCGAUGCGUUGUCACGGGCACAACCAGCGUAUCCGAGGUGGACGUUAUGCUGCGCACAAGCGACGCGCUUUCAACUAUUCUCGGGCGAGAGUAAAACGAAAGUAAAAACGGGUGAGCAGAAGCAGAGAUCGAGCCGUUGUAGCUUUUUGCACUACCGCCCGGGACAACGACCGAUCUUCGCGAAUCGAAAUCGGAUCGGAAUUCAUGGACGCAGAAGUUACUUCAGCGGACCAUUUCCUGGCACAAAUGUUACGCAAUGGCAACGGUGCGUCAUAGCCAAGCAUGCACUCACUCUUGAGCGAUCGCAGCUAGAUUUUUUUCCUCUGCCCCUCCGCUACUGUGCAACACAUCUCCGACAACAGGCUGGCUGUUUGACUGACUGACUGACUGACUGACUGACUGACUGACUGACUGACUGACUGACUGAAUCGUGCUUGCCUACCUGCGUACCUAACUACCUACUUAUCCACCUACUUACUGGGCAAGAGGUGGUAAAUCGGGAACGUCGUCCGCAGGAGAACGUUUCCGAAUAAGGUCAGAGUUACGAGAGGAAAGGUGGGCGCGCGGAAUCGAGCAGGUAGGUAGCCAAGAAAACCAGUACCGAGCAACGCGCAAAUACGCAGUACCGUUCGCCGUAAUAUCCUGGAAUUCAUUAUCGAAGUCAAAAU